rnacentral:rRNA from 1 species
CCUACGGGAGGCAGCAGUGAGGAAUAUUGGUCAAUGGUCGGGAGACUGAACCAGCCAAGCCGCGUGAGGGAUGAAGGUACAGAGUAUCGUAAACCUCUUUUGUCAGGGAACAAAGGCGGGGACGUGUCCCCGGAUGAGUGUACCUGAAGAAAAAGCAUCGGCUAACUGCGGGCCAGCAGCCGCGGUAAUACGGAGGAUGCGAGCGUUAUCCGGAUUUAUUGGGUUUAAAGGGUGCGCAGGCGGUCUGUUAAGUCAGCGGUAAAAGCCCGGGGCUCAACCCCGGCCCGCCGUUGAAACUGGCAGUCUCGAGUUGGAGAGAAGUAUGCGGAAUGCGCGGUGUAGCGGUGAAAUGCAUAGAUAUCGCGCAGAACUCCGAUUGCGAAGGCAGCAUGCCGGCUCCACACUGACGCUGAGGCACGAAAGCGUGGGUAUCGAACAGGAUUAGAUACCCGUGUAGUC